rnacentral:rRNA from 1 species
UACGUAGGGUGCAAGCGUUAAUCGGAAUUACUGGGCGUAAAGCGUGCGCAGGCGGUUCGGAAAGAAAGAUGUGAAAUCCCAGGGCUUAACCUUGGAACUGCAUUUUUAACUGUCGAACUCGAGUAUGUCAGAGGGGGGUAGAAUUCCACGUGUAGCAGUGAAAUGCGUAGAGAUGUGGAGGAAUACCGAUGGCGAAGGCAGCCCCCUGGGAUAAUACUGACGCUCAUGCACGAAAGCGUGGGGAGCAAACAGGAUUAGAUACCCUGGUAGUCCACGCCCUAAACGAUGUCAACUAGCUGUUGGGGCCUUCGGGCCUUAGUAGCGCAGCUAACGCGUGAAGUUGACCGCCUGGGGAGUACGGUCGCAAGAUUAAA